rnacentral:rRNA from 1 species
GACGAACGCUGGCGGCGUGCCUAAUACAUGCAAGUCGAACGCUUCUUUCCUCCCGAGUGCUUGCACUCAAUUGGAAAGAGGAGUGGCGGACGGGUGAGUAACACGUGGGUAACCUACCCAUCAGAGGGGGAUAACACUUGGAAACAGGUGCUAAUACCGCAUAACAGUUUAUGCCGCAUGGCAUAGGAGUGAAAGGCGCUUUCGGGUGUCGCUGAUGGAUGGACCCGCGGUGCAUUAGCUAGUUGGUGAGGUAACGGCUCACCAAGGCCACGAUGCAUAGCCGACCUGAGAGGGUGAUCGGCCACACUGGGACUGAGACACGGCCCAGACUCCUACGGGAGGCAGCAGUAGGGAAUCUUCGGCAAUGGACGAAAGUCUGACCGAGCAACGCCGCGUGAGUGAAGAAGGUUUUCGGAUCGUAAAACUCUGUUGUUAGAGAAGAACAAGGACGUUAGUAACUGAACGUCCCCUGACGGUAUCUAACCAGAAAGCCACGGCUAACUACGUG